rnacentral:rRNA from 1 species
GAUGAACGCUGGCGGCGUGCCUAAUACAUGCAAGUCGAGCGAACGGACGAGAAUCUUGCUUCUCUGAUGUUAGCGGCGGACGGGGGAGGAACACGUGGAUAACCUACCUAUAAGACUGGGAUAACGUCGGGAAACCGGAGCUAAUACCGGAUAAUAUUUUGAACCGCAUGGUGCAAAAGGGAAAGACGGUCUUGCUGUCACUUGUAGAUGGAUCCGCGCUGCAUUAGCUAGUUGGUAAGGUAACGGCUUACCACGGCAACGAUGCAUAGCCGACCUGAGAGGGUGAUCGGCCACACUGGAACUGAGACACGGUCCAGACCCCUACGGGAGGCAGCAGUAGGGAAUCUUCCGCAAUGGGCGAAAGCCUGACGGAGCAACGCCGCGUGAGUGAUGAAGGUCUUCGGAUCGUAAAACUCUGUUAUUAGGGAAGAACAUAUGUGUAAGUAACUGUGCACAUCUUGACGGUACCUAAUCAGAAAGCCACGGCUAACUACGUG